rnacentral:lncRNA from 1 species
UUUUUGUGUAGUAGAUUUUAUCACUAGAUUGAUAAAAUCGUUUUUCUGGUUGACAACAUGAUGGUGAAAUGGAGGUGAUUGAUUACUGAGGACGAUGGAGGAAGAACAAGAAUAACAAUAUUAGAAUUGAGUGUUUUGUCCACAUCUAAUCUAAGUACCCGACCCUUUUGUUCUUCUUCAAUAGAUAAGAAACCGCCGCCUUCAAAGAAUCAAACCCAAUUUUCCAGCUACAACAAGAUGCUUUCGUAAAACUAACGAACGGGAAGAAGCUGAACGGACAGAAAGCCCCGACGGGAGUGCGACGGUAACGAACGGGAGCGCGAGUUCUGCGAAACCUCUGCUGUGAGUGCGAGCACGCCUCCGGCAGAGAGACGCGAGCACGCCGUCGUUUGGGAACCUCCGCCAUCUGCAAGAGACGCGAGUGCUACGCUUCAUCCGGUCAACCACGAUCUCACCAUCCUUCCACUAUCCUCCGGCCAACGAGAAGCUCCCCCAGCCGCCAAGACAGAUUAGGGUUGAUCCCACAAGGGAUCCCCAAAUUUGGAUCGGCGAGUGGAAAGGAGACUCGGCGAGAGUACGAGAACCCUUCCAACUGCCCAGACAGACUAGGGUCGAUUCCGUAAGGAAUCCCCAUCCUUAUAUCGGCGAGUUGGGGGGGCCUAUCGGCGAGUGUGGGAAGGCUAUCGGCGAGUGGGAUAGGGUAUCGGCGAUUCCUGUAUUAAUUCGGCGGGAAAGAAGCUAUUGGGAGUGAAUAACCACUCAAAAUACACACUAUUGUACCCACUUAAAAUCUACUCAAAAUCUGUGUAAUCGUCGAUUGGAG